AUGGGGAGGAAAUUGCCCCCUUUUGCUCCGGCGGCGACAAGGAAGCGAAAAGGUUCCGCCUUGGCCCCGCUCGCCGCGUGCAAGCACAGUGCGCCGGCGCGGCAAAUCGGUGGCUGGGCGUCCCUGCCCACCGACAUAGUGGGCCUCAUCACCUGCCGGCUCCUGGCCGGCGACGGCGAUGUGGUCGAUUACAUCUGCUUCCGCGCCGUCUGCUUCAGCUGGCGCGCCUGCACGCCCGCUCCCCGCGACCCCAAUCUGCGGGAUCCGCGCCUCCGCCCGCGCGGCUGGGUCGCGCUCUGUGACGGGGACGCCGUCCGCCCGGACGACGCCUGCGAGAUCGUCUUCUUCCACACGCGCACCGCCAGGCGCCUCCGCGUCCCCUUGCCGGAGCUCCGGCGGCACAGAAUCAUCGGCUUCACCGACGGUCUCGUCAUCCUCAUGCACAAGACCACCACCGCGGUCCGCGUGCUGCACCCGUUCACGCGCGACGUGGUCGACUUCCAGCCCCUCGCUACUCUGUACCACCAGGUGGUCAGGCACAAGGGGUCCCUGCUUGACAUGAACGCCGCGGUGUGCAGCAGCGCGGCGUCCUCCGCAGACUCCAUUGCCGUGGUGGUCUGGUUCCCCUACACGGACGUGGUGCUUGCGGCCGACCCGGGCUCAGAUUGGGAGGUCCUCCACAGAGGAUUCUAUGUUUGGUGCGCCUUGCCCUUCCAAGGAAGGCUCUAUGCCACCCUGUGUUGUUCGAGUGAGAUUGUGCAGCUAUACCCUCCGAGACGAAACGGACCGCAAGAGAACUCUCUGGUGUCUGGAGGAAGGAUGCUGCUCGCCGUCCGGCAGCCAGCUCCUUAUGCAAAUGGGGCAGAAUGGAAUGCGAUUGACUGGUCGCGACAAUUGGUCUGCAGGCUCUAUGUAGUGGAUCUGAACGGCGGCCAACGCCGUAAGCUCAUCCAGGUGAAGAACAUAGGUGACACCGCGCUGUUUCUCAGCCGCGACCGAUGCCUGUCAGUCUCAGCCAGGGACCUCCCUUCCUUGAGCAGCAACUCCAUUUACCUCAGUCUACCAUCGGACCCCAUUGUGGUGCAUUCGCUGGGCACUGGUUUGUCCGAGCGAUUGGCAGACUCCUGCCAGAUACACGACAGGACAGAGAGGAUCCGCCCCUCUGUGCAUCCCUUCACCAUUGUUGAUCAUCUUAUCACGUACUGCAAUCCUCGCGUGUGGAGUAAAGGGCUCAUGUUCCACGAGUACCACUAUAUACCUCAAUCUUUCGAGGAAUUGAUCAAGAAAAUAAGGGCACAAGAGAGGGAACUGCGGAUUCCACGCGCUGUGCAUUCGUGCUGA
rnacentral:rRNA from 1 species